UUUGGUCAUUUUGUAAGUAAGGGUAAUUUAGUAAUUCCAUGGUGAUGAUUAUUUUUAGUGUUUCAAGUGAGAACCAUUAUUUUACUAAGUUACUAGUGUAGUAAUUAGUUGUGAGCCAGUGAGUGGUCGUUAUUAUUAUUUACCGUUAAGUGAGUAGAAACAUUUUGUAAUUGGUUUAGUAAAUGGGUUAAGCCCAUUAAGACAUUAAGGGUUAAGCCCAAUUGAGAGGAGACUAUAUAAGUUCUAGUCUUUAGAGAAAAAUAGGUUUUCAUUUCAUUUCAUAAGAAUUUGAGAGAGGUAGAGAGAGAAAGUUCAAGACAAGUUGCAAAAGGGUUAGAAGGGAAAAAGUUUGAAGAACCAAGACGGGAUAGAGAUUCUAGGAGCUAAAUUAAAGUUUUUGCUAGAAUUAUUGCUUAUUGAGGUAAGUGGGUUAGAUUUCAAUCAUAAUCUCUUAGUUGUAGUUUCUACCCUAAUUCUUUGCAUAAGUGCUUAAUUGAAAUAAGUGAUUAUUUUGAAUUUAAUUGAUGAAAUUCGUGCUUAUGCUUUGAUGUGAUGUUUGUGUAUAUGAAUUUGUUGAUAAUCAAGUUGUUGAUGAUGAAAUUACAUGCUCAAUAUAUGUUUAUAUGUAUACUUUGUUAAUUUUGCUCAAAUUGGCAUAUAUUAGUGUUGUUGUUGUUAAUUGUGAUGAAUUCAUGUUUAAAUGAAGUUGUUUUUGAAUUAGAUAUGUUGUUGUUGUUGUUGAUUUGUACCAUGGGUAUUCCAUUUUGUGAAGUUGUAGUUUAAAUUGGUGAAGUUGAGUUAAGUGGUUCAUUUGGAGGACCAAAAUGAACUUUUGAUAUAUAAGGUUGUUGACUGAAAUUUUGAUGUUGUUGGAUGAACUGAACCUGGAAGAAUUUCUGUUUUCAUGUUGUGGUUGUUUUAGUUGAGUCGUUUGGGAGAAAACG
rnacentral:lncRNA from 1 species